AUUCCAUGAUGGGGACACUUCCUUAAUAGUGACUUAAAUCGAUCCCAAGCUUCAUAUAAAAUUUCACCUUUGAACUGCUUGAAGUUGAUGAUCUCACGGUGGAGUU
rfam:Gossypium arboreum cultivar AKA8401 contig_54691_3, whole genome shotgun sequence.